rnacentral:rRNA from 1 species
CCCUUAGAUGUUCUGGGCCGCACGCGUGCUACACUGAGUGGAUCAGCGGGUCAGGUUGCGCGAAAGUGUUUCCUAAUCUUGAAAUCCGCUCGUGAUGGGGAUUGACGGUUGCAAUUUUCCGUCAUGAACGAGGAAUACCUUGUAAGCGCGGGUCAUCAUCCCGCGCUGAAUACGUCCCUGCCCUUUGUACACACCGCCCGUCGCUCCUACCGAUUGAGUGGUCCGGUGAGGCUUUGGGAUCUGAGCGGAAAGAGCGUUUCGCUCGUUCUGCCCGGAAAACUCAGUCGAACCUUAUCAUUUAGAGGAAGGAGAAGUCGUAACA